UUGGAUCCAGACUUUGAUUCUGGCUCAGGAUGAACGCUGGCGGCGUGCCUAAUACAUGCAAGUCGAACGAAACUUCUUUAUCACCGAGUGCUUGCACUCACCGAUAAAGAGUUGAGUGGCGAACGGGUGAGUAACACGUGGGCAACCUGCCCAAAAGAGGGGGAUAACACUUGGAAACAGGUGCUAAUACCGCAUAACCAUAGUUACCGCAUGGCAACUAUGUAAAAGGUGGCUAUGCUACCGCUUUUGGAUGGGCCCGCGGCGCAUUAGCUAGUUGGUGGGGUAAAGGCUUACCAAGGCAAUGAUGCGUAGCCGAACUGAGAGGUUGAUCGGCCACAUUGGGACUGAGACACGGCCCAAACUCCUACGGGAGGCAGCAGUAGGGAAUCUUCCACAAUGGGCGAAAGCCUGAUGGAGCAACGCCGCGUGGGUGAAGAAGGUCUUCGGAUCGUAAAACCCUGUUGUUAGAGAAGAAAGUGCGUGAGAGUAACCGUUCACGUUUCGACGGUAUCUAACCAGAAAGCCACGGCUAACUACGUGCCAGCAGCCGCGGUAAUACGUAGGUGGCAAGCGUUAUCCGGAUUUAUUGGGCGUAAAGGGAACGCAGGCGGUCUUUUAAGUCUGAUGUGAAAGCCUUCGGCUUAACCGGAGUAGUGCAUUGGAAACUGGGAGACUUGAGUGCAGAAGAGGAGAGUGGAACUCCAUGUGUAGCGGUGAAAUGCGUAGAUAUAUGGAAGAACACCAGUGGCGAAAGCGGCUCUCUGGUCUGUAACUGACGCUGAGGUUCGAAAGCGUGGGUAGCAAACAGGAUUAGAUACCCUGGUAGUCCACGCCGUAAACGAUGAAUGCUAAGUGUUGGAGGGUUUCCGCCCUUCAGUGCUGCAGCUAACGCAAUAAGCAUUCCGCCUGGGGAGUACGACCGCAAGGUUGCAACUCAAAUGAAUUGACGGA
rnacentral:rRNA from 1 species